rnacentral:lncRNA from 1 species
CGUGAGGGGGCAGCAGGGCAUGAAGUAGAAAGAAAUGAUGGCGAAGACAAUCCGGGCAUAACCUUGGAACGGGACGCGGGGAGACAGGGCAGGAUCAGGGAGCCCGCCAAGGCCCCUCGCCCUCUCGUUCGGCCCGGGGCCGUGGGCAGCACUCACCGAUGAGGUUGGGCACGAACAGGAAGAUAUUUUCGUCUGGCAUCGCGGCGCCUCCCUUGCUGCCCCGGGCCUGCUCUGGAGAUGCCAGUGCUGUCCCAGCCCCGCAGCGCGGCCUCAGCCUCCGGCCCGGCGCAUCGGCCGCACCACCUGCGCCCUGGACCCCGCCGCCCCAACCUGGCCCCAGAUGCUGAAGCCCGCAGCCGUCGGGAGCAUGGACCGGCCCCGAGGUGCGCGGGACGCAGGGGGCGCGCGCAGUCCGCCCUUCCUACCCGCAACCUCCCUCGCCUCUGCCAGCCCCGCAGGCGCUCCGGGCCUCCAGCUGCGGUCGCCGCUGCUCCAGCUGCGCGUGGCUUCCGGGAACCUCCUCCUCCGCGCCCGUCGUUGCAAAAUUGGAGAGAGGAAAAAGUGGCUUAAAAAAAUAGUUGCGGCCCCUUUAAGGCCUGUCGGCUUCCUUUCCCUUUUCCUCCCUCCGCCCCUCUCCCUUGGCUCGUACCAAAGCGCAGAGGAGGAGAGGGAGGAAGGAACCAUUAACGUCAAGCAAAGUUAGAAACGGAAAAGGAAAGGGUAAAAGAGAAGACCGAAUAAAAAUCUCUGCUUUCCUUUUGUGGAGGGUAUGACUUCCUGGAGGCAAAGAUAAGGCGAUAAAAUUCCUCCUCCUGAGUCUUUGCGUCCCCAAGAGGCCAGGAGAUUUGGUGCAGUCCUCACUUUACUCCCCGCCCCCUAAGUCUCCAGCCGCCUUUGCUCUCGCAGGCUCUAGGCGGCUAGAGAGGCUCCAGAGCGCCCUGCAGAUGGGUUGCUUUUCGCGUGCCCCUUGUGAUGGGAGGAUUAGGUCGCAGGCUCCACCCUACGUCAUCCUCCCAAGCUUCUCAAGCGUCUGGCGCUUGGGGUCACUGCCCUCAAGGAGGCACCUGGAGGGGUACGGAGGGGAGGCUGGAGGAGCAAACGGGGCGCGCUAGGAAAUUCCUCUGUCUUUAGUUCUAGAACCCCUGAUCUCCUAGCAACGAGGCUGCGGAACCUCUGCAGACUCCAAGGGUUUUAUAGCGUCCGGUAGCGACACGGAGCCGGCUCCCCCUUUUCCAGCCUUCCUCCCCAUCUCCCAUUCUCCAUCCCCCACGACCUAUACCAGAGGUCCUUAGGCCUCCACGUCUCUCCUUUUGCCGAGUAGCCCAAGGUUUCCACCCAUCUGCCAGGGGGAUGGCGUCCACUCCGAUGGGGAAUGAGGGGGAGAAGAAGAGCAGCUGGCCAUCUCAAGCUGCACCCUCCUUGAGAGGAGGUCCGGCUUCGUUAUCUCGUUCUGAGGAAUACCUGUCCCAGAUCAGUGCAGAACUCAUGGAGGAGGCUUUGUGCACUGCUUGCUGCCACUUGAACCCUGUGCCCAUCAAAAAAAAGCAGUCACAAGACCAAGCGACUCAGAUAUCCAAACGCGCAUUCUUCACCAAGACCUGAGGCACAGACACCUGCCCUCUCCCCUCUCUUCCACCAUCUCCUGCUCGGACAGAAACCGUACCUGCAGCAAGGCAUACCUCCUGCCAACUCCUGGUGAAAAGAACAUGCCUCAAAACUACUCUUUUGCCACUCGUUAACCACUUCCGUUUGUGGGGACCUCCUGGUCAUGAGCAGCAUCAUCCCGAAGCCUUCAAAGUGUUCUGGAUUCAUCACAGGACCCUCCAGCCUCAGCCAGCAAGGAUACCACCAGGAAUGAAAGUGCUUUAAUAAAGAGACAGGGUGUGCAUUGCUCAUGUGUGGUUUCUCUGGGGUAGAGAAG